rnacentral:misc_RNA from 1 species
GUGAAUCAUCGAAUCUUUGAACGCAAAUUGCACUCUCCUCGGAGAGUAUGCCUGUUUGAGGGUCAGCCUAUAAAAAAUCGACAUCGUUGCUGUUUCGCGGUGACGUUCGUCGGAAAUUGGGUCAUCUUAAACCCUUUGGGUUUUAAGCGUCUUAAAAUUUUUUUCGUUGUUCCAUGCACGUCUA